rnacentral:lncRNA from 1 species
AAACCAUGUUCAUGGAUGGACUGCCCAUCGCGCAUCUUGGCUUUGAAGAGCCGCUUGGACACUUCAAACCUCGCUGCGCGACUUUAUUCACCAUACAACUCAUGUAGGUGAUCAAGUAUGUCCUUAGCAGUCUUAAUGCUCUCAUGCUGGUAUUUGCAAUUCGUUGGACAUGGAUUCUAAAAUGUAGCACCUAAUCUUAUUGUCAUCAUCCAACCAUUUUGCAUGCAUCUCACGCUGCUCAUUGGUUGCACGGGUUGGUAACACCGGGAGUUCAUGGUUAAGAACAUAAGCUAUCUUUUCGCAACUCAAGACAAUCUUCAAGUUGCGGAGCCAAUUUUUAUAGUUUGGUCCGGUCAACCUAAUGUUAUCUAUAAUUCAAACUAUCGGGUUGGAAGCCAUUGAUAUCUGCAGAGAGUAAAGAUUCUAAUUAGAAAUUUAUAUUUGACAUUAAUUUAUUUUAGGAACUUUUAAAACAAAAUUGGAUCAAAUCCUUCCACUAUUUCUCGGAUCUCUCACACUCCCCUGAUGAUGAGAGCACAAAAGUGCAAACGUUGUACCAUCUUAAUUAGUAUUAUAGCUAAUCAUUAAUGAUAAAAUUAACUAAUUAACGUUGUAUUUGUGUUUGAGUGCAAGUAAUCCAAGAGAUCCAAUAACAUUGGAUUUGAGCUCAGCUCAUCUCAGCAUGUUAGCUAGCCUUCCGCAUCAGGCGUUCGUCCGCAUCGCUGCCAGCGCCGUCCCACGUCUUCAGCGCGUCCCAACCACGUCCAUGCCACGUCCCCGAUCGCCUUCCAUUUUGGUGCCCGUUUUGAAUGCAAUCUAGCCAUCUUCUUCUUCCUCCCGCAGUGCAUCACGGCCGUCCAUCUUCCAGAUCAGAUCCAGCUUCAUCCCGUGCGGAAACAGGGGAGAAGAAAGGAUCACACACCUGUCCGCUUCUUCCGCAUCUCCUUCCUUCCGAUUUCAAGCCGUGAUCCCAGCAUCCAUUUCUUCUUCCAGCUUCUUCCUCCCGUCGAUCACGUUCCCGGCUCCUCCAGUGAUCCCAGUGGUCCCAUAGCACCAAAUCUCUUCCGAGUUCCAGCGC